rnacentral:rRNA from 1 species
GUGGUAAUGCCGGAUGCUCCAGUUGAUCGCAUGGUCUUCUGGGAAAGCUUUCGCGGUAUGGGAUGGGGUCGCGUCCUAUCAGCUUGACGGCGGGGUAACGGCCCACCGUGGCUUCGACGGGUAGCCGGCCUGAGAGGGCGACCGGCCACAUUGGGACUGAGAUACGGCCCAGACUCCUACGGGAGGCAGCAGUGGGGAAUAUUGCACAAUGGGCGCAAGCCUGAUGCAGCGACGCCGCGUGAGGGAUGGAGGCCUUCGGGUUGUAAACCUCUUUUAUCGGGGAGCAAGCGAGAGUGAGUUUACCCGUUGAAUAAGCACCGGCUAACUACGUGCCAGCAGCCGCGGUAAUACGUAGGGUGCAAGCGUUAUCCGGAAUUAUUGGGCGUAAAGGGCUCGUAGGCGGUUCGUCGCGUCCGGUGUGAAAGUCCAUCGCUUAACGGUGGAUCCGCGCCGGGUACGGGCGGGCUUGAGUGCGGUAGGGGAGACUGGAAUUCCCGGUGUAACGGUGGAAUGUGUAGAUAUCGGAAAAA